UUUAUGGAGAGUUUGAUCCUGGCUCAGGAUGAACGCUGGCGGCGUGCCUAAUACAUGCAAGUCGAGCGAACGGACGAGAAGCUUGCUUCUCUGAUGUUAGCGGCGGACGGGUGAGUAACACGUGGAUAACCUACCUAUAAGACUGGGAUAACUUCGGGAAACCGGAGCUAAUACCGGAUAAUAUUUUGAACCGCAUGGUUCAAAAGUGAAAGACGGUCUUGCUGUCACUUAUAGAUGGAUCCGCGCUGCAUUAGCUAGUUGGUAAGGUAACGGCUUACCAAGGCAACGAUGCAUAGCCGACCUGAGAGGGUGAUCGGCCACACUGGAACUGAGACACGGUCCAGACUCCUACGGGAGGCAGCAGUAGGGAAUCUUCCGCAAUGGGCGAAAGCCUGACGGAGCAACGCCGCGUGAGUGAUGAAGGUCUUCGGAUCGUAAAACUCUGUUAUUAGGGAAGAACAUAUGUGUAAGUAACUGUGCACAUCUUGACGGUACCUAAUCAGAAAGCCACGGCUAACUACGUGCCAGCAGCCGCGGUAAUACGUAGGUGGCAAGCGUUAUCCGGAAUUAUUGGGCGUAAAGCGCGCGUAGGCGGUUUUUUAAGUCUGAUGUGAAAG
rnacentral:rRNA from 1 species